UACAGAGGGUGCAAGCGUUAAUCGGAAUUACUGGGCGUAAAGCGUGCGUAGACGGUUAUGUAAGUCAGGUGUGAAGGCCCCGGGCUCAACCUGGGAAUUGCAUUUGAGACUGCAUAGCUAGGGUGCGGAAGAGGGAAGCGGAAUUUCCGGUGUAGCGGUGAAAUGCGUAGAUAUCGGAAGGAACACCAGUGGCGAAAGCGGCUUCCUGGUCCAGCACCGACGUCAGGCACGAAAGCGUGGGGAGCAAACAGG
rnacentral:rRNA from 1 species